rnacentral:rRNA from 1 species
AUUGAACGCUGGCGGCAGGCUUAACACAUGCAAGUCGAGCGGGGGAAGGUAGCUUGCUACCGGACCUAGCGGCGGACGGGUGAGUAAUGCUUAGGAAUCUGCCUAUUAGUGGGGGACAACAUCUCGAAAGGGAUGCUAAUACCGCAUACGUCCUACGGGAGAAAGCAGGGGAUCUUCGGACCUUGCGCUAAUAGAUGAGCCUAAGUCGGAUUAGCUAGUUGGUGGGGUAAAGGCCUACCAAGGCGACGAUCUGUAGCGGGGCUGAGAGGAUGAUCCGCGACACUGGGACUGAGAAACGGACCCUACUCCUACGGGAGGUAGCAGUGGGGAAUAUUGGACAAUGGGGGGAACCCUGAUCCAGCCAUGCCGCGUGUGUGAAGAAGGCCUUAUGGUUGUAAAGCACUUUAAGCGAGGAGGAGGCUACUUUAGUUAAUACCUAGAGAUAGUGGACGUUACUCGCAGAAUAAGCACCGGCUAACUCUGUGCCAGCCGCCGCCGUAA